GCCCUAGUAACGGCGAGUGAAGCGGCAACAGCUCAAAUUUGAAAUCUGGCGUCUUCGGCGUCCGAGUUGUAAUUUGCAGAGGGCGCUUUGGCAUUGGCAGCGGUCCAAGUUCCUUGGAACAGGACGUCACAGAGGGUGAGAAUCCCGUACGUGGUCGCUAGCCUUUACCGUGUAAAGCCCCUUCGACGAGUCGAGUUGUUUGGGAAUGCAGCUCUAAAUGGGAGGUAAAUUUCUUCUAAAGCUAAAUACUGGCCAGAGACCGAUAGCGCACAAGUAGAGUGAUCGAAAGAUGAAAAGCACUUUGGAAAGAGAGUUAAAAAGCACGUGAAAUUGUUGAAAGGGAAGCGCUUGCAGCCAGACUUGCCUGUAGUUGCUCAUCCGGGUUUCUACCCGGUGCACUCUUCUAUAGGCAGGCCAGCAUCAGUUUGGGCGGUUGGAUAAAGGUCUCUGUCAUGUACCUCCUCUCGGGGAGAACUUAUAGGGGAGACGACAUGCAACCAGCCUGGACUGAGGUCCGCGCAUCUGCUAGGAUGCUGGCGUAAUGGCUGUAAGCGGCCCGUCUUGAAACACGGACCAAGGAGUCUAACAUCUAUGCGAGUGUUUGGGUGUCAAGCCCGAGCGCGUAAUGAAAGUGAACGGAGGUGGGAACCUUUCGGGGUGCACCAUCGACCGAUCCUGAUGUCUUCGGAUGGAUUUGAGUAAGAGCAUAGCUGUUGGGACCCGAAAGAUGGUGAACUAUGCUUGAAUAGGGUGAAGCCAGAGGAAACUCUGGUGGAGGCUCGCAGCGGUUCUGACGUGCAAAUCGAUCGUCAAAUUUGGGCAUAGGGGCGAAAGACUAAUCGAACUAUCUAGUA
rnacentral:rRNA from 1 species